rnacentral:SRP_RNA from 1 species
GCCAGGCACAGUGGCACAUGCCUAUAUUGCCAGUUGUUUGGUAGGCUGAGGCAGGAGGAUCACUUGAGCAUAGGAGUUCUGGGCUGUAGUGUGCCAUGCCGAUUUGGUGUUGCAUUAAACUCAACACCGAUAUGGUGACCUCUUGGGAGCCAGGAACCAGCGUGUAUUGCCUAAGGAAGGGUGAACCAGCCCACCUUGGAAAGGGAGCAGAUCAGAACUCCUGUGUUGAUCAGUGUGGGAUUGUGCCUUUGAAUAGCCACUGCACUGUCUAGCCUGGGCAAUAUAGCAAGAUCUUGUCUCU